rnacentral:lncRNA from 1 species
CAUCUUCUAUGUUUACAGAUUGUUGGCAUGAUUCUUGAAUUGGGGACUGGAGUUCAAGUAUUAAAUCCAGGCAAGUUCAACAAAUAAACCGCAUCAAGUUCUUGUUUAUUUAGCAAUAUAUAAGUUUACUGUGCAAAAAGCAGUGGUUCAAAUAUGAAAGAAGAAUAUAAAAGGUCCAACAUGCGCAUGUUGCCAGUGCCCCUAGUAGGCCUCCGCCUCCGGUUGCCAGUGCAGCUCACGGCUCCUGUACUCCUCCAUCAUGUGCACGGUUGCUGCUCUCCUCUGCUUUCUCUCUCUCUUGCAUGAUGUUGCUGCUCCUCUCAAAUCUCUCUAGCUCUAUUAAUUCAUGAUGCUGCCUCAUCUCUGAAUUGUUGUGGUGACGCUGAGGUUUUGUUGUCACCCACAGGAUCACUGCCUCCGUGUCCACAUUCAGAUGUGCUGCAAGUUCAAUUGUUUCAGUUCGAGCGGGUGCACAAAACACAAUGUUCUAGUCCGUACUGUCCACAUGUGCUGCAAGUUCAAUUGUUUCAGUUUGAACAUUUGCUACCCUAGUCAUUUGUUUGUUGCUAAAAUGUCGGAGUCGCACUUCUCAUUCUUGAAUGAAUUUUUUCUAUACCAUCGUCUUUAUUUCUAAAUGUAAGUCACUUUUUUUUGCC